AUUGAACGCUGGCGGCAUGCCUUACACAUGCAAGUCGAACGGUAACAGGUCUUCGGACGCUGACGAGUGGCGAACGGGUGAGUAAUACAUCGGAACGUGCCCAGUCGUGGGGGAUAACUACUCGAAAGAGUAGCUAAUACCGCAUACGAUCUGAGGAUGAAAGCGGGGGAGCUUCGGGCCUCGCGCGCUUGCAGCGGCCGAUGGCAGAUUAGGUAGUUGGUGGGAUAAAAGCUUACCAAGCCGACGAUCUGUAGCUGGUCUGAGAGGACGACCAGCCACACUGGGACUGAGACACGGCCCAGACUCCUACGGGAGGCAGCAGUGGGGAAUUUUGGGCAAUGGGCGAAAGCCUGAUCCAGCAAUGCCGCGUGCAGGAUGAAGGCCUUCGGGUUGUAAACUGCUUUUGUACGGAACGAAAAAGCUCCUUCUAAUACAGGGGGCCCAUGACGGUACCGUAAGAAUAAGCACCGGCUAACUACGUGCCAGCCGCCGCUGUAAGAC
rnacentral:rRNA from 1 species